rnacentral:rRNA from 1 species
GACGGAGGGGGCAAGCGUUGUCCGGAAUUACUGGGCGUAAAGCGCUCGUAGGCGGUCAUGUACGGCGAUGGUGAAAGCUCCCGGCUCAACUGGGAGAGGCCCGUCGCAACGGCGUGACUCGAGGGUGGUAGAGGCAGAUGGAAUACCUGGUGUAGCGGUGAAAUGCGUAGAGAUCAGGAGGAACACCCAUGGCGAAGGCAGUCUGCUGGGCCAUACCUGACGCUGAGGAGCGAAAGCUAGGGGAGCGAACGGGAUUAGAUACCCCGGUAGUCCUAGCCGUAAACGAUGGAUACUAGGUGUCAGCGGUAUCGACCCCGCUGGUGCCGGAGCUAACGCGUGAAGUAUCCCGCCUGGGGAGUACGGCCGCAAGGUUGAA